UACGUAGGGACCAAGCGUUGUUCGGAUUUACUGGGCGUAAAGGGCGCGUAGGCGGCACGGCAAGUCGGGAGUGAAAGCCCGGGGCUCAACCCCGGAGGGUCUCUCGAAACUGCCGAGCUAGAGUGCGGAAGAGGCAAUCGGAAUUCCCAGUGUAGCGGUGAAAUGCGCAGAUAUCAGGAGGAACACCAGUGGCGAAGGCGCCACUCUGGGCCGUAACUGACGCUGAGGAGCGAAAGCGUGGGUAGCAAACAGG
rnacentral:rRNA from 1 species